CCUACGGGAGGCAGCAGUGGGGAAUAUUGCACAAUGGGGGAAACCCUGAUGCAGCGACGCCGCGUGAGCGAUGAAGUAUUUCGGUAUGUAAAGCUCUAUCAGCAGGGAAGAAAAUGACGGUACCUGACUAAGAAGCCCCGGCUAACUACGUGCCAGCAGCCGCGGUAAUACGUAGGGGGCAAGCGUUAUCCGGAUUUACUGGGUGUAAAGGGAGCGUAGACGGCGGUGCAAGCCAGAUGUGAAAGCCUGGGGCUCAACCCCGGGACUGCAUUUGGAACUGUGCUGCUAGAGUGUCGGAGAGGCAGGCGGAAUUCCUAGUGUAGCGGUGAAAUGCGUAGAUAUGAGGAGGAACACCAGUGGCGAAGGCGGUCUGCUGGACAGCAACUGACGCUGAGGCGCGAAAGCGUGGGGAGCAAACAGGAUUAGAUACCCUUGUAGUC
rnacentral:rRNA from 1 species